AAAGCAAAUUCUUUGUUUUACAUACACAUUAAUUAGCCCCCAGGAAACAGUAGAUCUGAGAUACAAUGGAAGUGAAAUACUUCAGUGAUUCCCCCAAACACCUACCUUGACAUGCGUAACAUUUAUGAAGAAUGCAAAAGCUGUUUAAAGCAGGAAACUGAAGGUACAUCCACAAGCACUAACUGUUUUUAUAGCCUCACCUAUUUUAGCAUACAUUCAAUAUGUGACCGUGAAUGUGUUUUCAAGGGUAGCCCUAAUGAGGCACAAAUCUACUGAGUACAGGAAUACCAACUUAAUGUAGCACAUCCACUUACUGACAGAAAGCAGCAAGUCAAGGGACUGUGUAGUCAUCCCUCCAUAACUGCAAAUAGCUAUGAUACUAAACAUAAGGACUUAAUGCUGGCAAAACUUCAGCUGAUGAUUUGCCAGCAAUGACUGUCGAACACACUCCGUAAUAAAUGGCAACUGUGAGAGUGCUAGUGACAAUCACUCACAUCUCAUAGACUGCUCACCUCCUUUAUCUUCACCAGUAUUAUAGGAAAUGUCAAAACCAAUAUUCUUUACAGCUUGUUACUAUUUUGCAGCCUGAAUACAUAGAGUAAUGCUUUGAGAAUUUUCAUGGAACUCCCAACAUUGAAUUUUCUCUAUCAGAUUGUCCUAAAUAAAUCUGGUUGUGUAUCACAUCUUCUUGCGGAAAUACUUUGCUGUCAUUUCAUCUCAUUCAUGUACUUAACUGAGCAGCUGGAGACUUCAUCUUCUUGCAACAUACAGAAGCCCUUCCUGUUGUAUGUCCUUCUAAUAAAGUAGUCAAUCAUAAUAACACUCAAUCAGCUGGUUUAAUGAGGUAAGAAUUAGGUAAUUAAAGAUGAAAAGAUAUUUUCAGAUGAUUGCUUACACCAUUUUUUAAUUUAUCUAUCACAGUGGAUAAUUUCUUUCAAUAAUUAUCAGGAGAGAUUAGCAUCCUCGGAAAAAAAAUAGCUAUUGUUCACACCAGACUGUCAUAUAAGUAAUAUUUGUUUAUAUAAAAUGCAUACCUACCUUAUUUCAACAGCUGGGCUUUUUUAAUCAUCCCUCAUAGAGGUUUUGAUUCAUAAGAUCACAGUUUGCCAUGAGAUUUUACUAGAAGUCAAACAUUUUCUGAGCUCCCCAUAAGAGGUCUGGUACCCACUCCUGCCCAACAACACACAGUUAAUAGUGUUGUUUGCAAAAACCCAGGAUUGCACAGGCAACCAUCUCUAAACUCCAGAAGGUGAUUUUGUUAUUGAUCCUAUAUAUUAACUUUAUAGGAAAUGCAGUUGAAGAAGGGAGGAAGAGCAAUUCAGAUCAGUCCAGAAGUGUAGCUGCUAAACCAGAAAAGAAGGAUACAUGAAGACCAUGCAUUUAUCAGAGAUCCUGCUAUUUUCCCAAAACCAGACACCUCAGCGAAGCACUCCUGUCAACAUGAAUUGUCUGUCAUGUGCUUUAAAAUGUUUUGAAAAAAAAUAUGGCAUGCCAUCUGGCUCCCAAGCACUCAUUAAAUCCAUUGGAAUAUGAGUGUUUAAGGAAGCUAACGUCACAUGAUGCC